GUGAAAUUAGCUCAGCUGGUUAGAGCGUCGGAUUGUGGUUCCGAAGGUCAAGGGUUCGAAACCCUUAUUUCACCCCA
rnacentral:tRNA from 1 species